ACUUAUUCUCAGGGCGGGGUGGAAGUCCCCACCGGCGGUAUUCCAAUAUAAGUUGGAGAGCCCGCGAGCGCUCCCGAGGGGUUCGGGAGGUCAAGCAGAUCCGGUGAAAGGCCGGAGCCGACGGUAACAGUCCGGAUGGAAGAGGAUAAGG
rnacentral:ncRNA from 2 species